rnacentral:tRNA from 1 species
GGGCGGUUAGCUCAGCUGGUCAGAGCGACUGGUUUACACCCAGUAGGUCGGGGGUUCGAACCCCUCACCGCCCACCA